UCUCAAGCAUUUUUUCUUGGUGCGGUCAUGACAGUGUACAGCUGUAUAUGUGUAAAGAUGUGAUCGGUGACAAAGGCUAUGAUUAUGGUCCACUCCGCCGCGGCCGGUCCAUUGUUGGGCCUGCUGAUUCUCGCUGUCGCAUUCCCAUUUGUGCACGCCAAGGGCGCCGGAAUAUCGACAGUGCUCACGUUCGUCGGUCAGUUAUUCUUGGUGUGGCAGAGAUUACGCGGUGGAGUAAGGUCACCCCAAAUGGAAGUCACGCUUGACUUCUGCCCUGAAAAUGUCACCCACUACAAAAACAGCUCAAUUAUGAUGUCCAAUUACAGGUUGCAGAAUGAUGGGAACCUUUUUCUAGUGUCUCCUUUCUGGGGAAGUUUCAUUGGUUCUUUUUCUACGGUCCUGCUUGGAGUGCUCGCAAGUCUCGUCACUGGUAUGUGC